GAUGAACGCUAGCUACAGGCUUAACACAUGCAAGUCGAGGGGCAGCACUAGGUAGCAAUACUGAGGUGGCGACCGGCGCACGGGUGCGUAACGCGUAUCCAACCUUCCCGUUACUCUUGGAUAGCCUUCCGAAAGGGAGAUUAAUACAAGAUGGUAUUCAAAUUCCGCAUGUUAUUUGAAUUAAAGAUUUAUCGGUAACGGAUGGGGAUGCGUGACAUUAGGUAGAUGGCGGGGUAACGGCCCACCAUGCCUACGAUGUCUAGGGGUUCUGAGAGGAAGGUCCCCCACACUGGAACUGAGACACGGUCCAG
rnacentral:rRNA from 1 species